GCAUAAAAGGGUCAGGGCCCAACUCCACGUGCUCUCAAGCCUGCCAAGACUAUGUCAGCACUAUGGCACUUCUUAGAGAGUAGUGGAGCUUCCUGGACACACUGUAUUCUGGGUUUGGCCCCUGUUAGGCUUCUAGUUUGUGUUUUUCCUGUGAGUUUUGUUGCUUUGGGGAUUUAUGGGACCCUUCAGUGGAGCAUCUUGGAAUAUGAGGCUGUCCUUUGAGAUGUUCCUUCUAGGUACUCAGGCACUGACUGGCGUAGGAUAUGUGAGGCUGAUGCCGUCCUGUAUUUUUUGAGCUGCCCUGUGUCAGUUUUCUCAGCUUAAAAUUAAGGUCUAACUACUUAUAACACUAGAUCAUAAAACAUUUACUUUUAUGCUAAUGAAUUUCUAAAAAGGAAGGGUUGUGGAAUCCACUUCCAACCAAAGCAGAGGUUACAAAGCCAACGGCUUUACACAGAAUGAAUACUGAAGACAAUGACUACACUCCCUUAAUUGGUUGAACUUGAAAUAGUAUUACCUGUUUUUCUCACGGCUGUGACAGGAGGCAGCUUCAGGAAAGGAGGGUUUGACAGAGUUCAGAGUGGUCCAGUCCAUUGUGGCUGCAGACGUGGUAUGGUCUGAGGUGCCAAGCAAAAAAACGCAAACCCCGAACUCCAGUGGCUUUUGCCUCCCCCUGCCCCUUGCCCAUGGGGUGACUGGUGCUGCCCACAGUGAGAGGAGGUGUCCUUUCAGCCAAACCUCUCUAGGAAUGUCCUCUCAGACACACCCAAGAGUGCUCUUCCUCAAUGCCCUAGGUGCUCCCUACUCCAGUCAAGCUGUUAGUCAAUAGUCUAUAACCAUCUCAAAGUGGAAAAGUAUCUAAGAGCUGCUACCACAUAAAGAGGGAGCUGCAGUGUCCCUCUCAGGCGACCACCUUUCUAUGGUGGCUGGCCAGCGAUAGUGGCAAGCCUUCAGUGGCCUCAGGAGCUCUCUUCAGUGGCUCUCAGCAGUGAGUCCUCAAAGGGGACUUUUCAGGACACUGUUGUUUAAAAGUAGAAAAGAGACAGUCACAAAAAUAGUUACAGUGUGAACCGGGUUUAAUGAAAGCAAAAGACAUCAACUUUCAUAGGCAUAGGAAAGUUCUAGAAAUAGUGAGUGGACCAACAGAGGAAGAGCAGAGGUCUCUACUAUUCAACAGAUUUAAUUCCUUUUUAAAAGUACAAACAUGAAUCCCGUGUGUGUGUGUGUGUGUGUGUGUGUGUGUGUGUGUGUGUGUGUGUGUGUGUGUGUGUGUGUGUGUUAAACAACCUUGAUUUAAAGAUGGUAGAAAGCCAGGCAUGACAGUGCUCACUUGUAAUUCGUAAGAGGUGGAAGAAGAUGGAGGACAGCCUCAUGUACAGUGAGUUGAAGGUCAACCUGAGUUACACGAGACUUUGUCUCUAAACAAAAGAUGGCAGCACCGCAUGCUCAUGUCCCUGACUGAAACACCGACAGACUAAAGACUACAAAGAAAAUGAGGAGCAGAAACUCUGAGGCAGGAAGGCAGUGUACGUGUGGGGAAGGGGUUCAAUCUAGUUCAAGAGCACAAAACCACCACUCACACCCCAGCCAGACCUCAAAACCCCAGGAUAUGGAGAGAGGGAAUUCGCUGGACAUAGUUAAUAAUCUGGUGACUUUUGUGCUGUCCAUGUGGCAGAGAGCACACAGGAUCUUCCUUCUCAUCUUGAGCUUGCUCUUCUCCGUCAAUCUGCCAGAACCUACCUUUAUGGACGAUGCCGCUUGUACUUUACAAAGAGAUCUGAUGUAGUCAUGUCUUAAACUUUGUUGUGCACAAGGAAUUGAGUUCAUGAUCACCAGGAAACUUUCCCCCAAUUUGUGCUAUGCUAAAUAUGCCUCAGAUAAAAUACCUAAGAUCAGACUCUCAAAGUUUGAACCAAUACCAGCUACUGAGUCCUGCUGGCCAGAUACCCCACACUCCACUGCUGUGACUCGGGACAGACUCUGGGUCUGAUCAUGUCUGUUGCUUUAUCUGUUUAUGCUUUGUGAGGAUUGUAUGCACUUCUGUCUCAUUACUAUUUGUAUUAAUAUAUGAAAAUUGAAC
rnacentral:lncRNA from 1 species